rnacentral:rRNA from 1 species
GGAAUAUUGGACAAUGGGCGCAAGCCUGAUCCAGCCAUACCGCGUGUGUGAAGAAGGCCUUCGGGUUGUAAAGCACUUUCAGCGGGGAGGAAGGGGUGUGUGUUAUUAGCACAUAUUCUUGACGUUACCCGCAGAAGAAGCACCGGCUAACUCCGUUACAGCAGCCGCGGUAAUACGGAGGGUGCAAGCGUUAAUCGGAAUUACUGGGCGUAAAGCGCACGUAGGCGGUAUGUUAAGUUGGAUGUGAAAGCCCCGGGCUCAACCUGGGAAUUGCAUUCAAAACUGGCAUGCUAGAGUAUGGGAGAGGGGGGUAGAAUUCCAAGUGUAGCGGUGAAAUGCGUAGAGAUUUGGAGGAAUACCAGUGGCGAAGGCGGCCCCCUGGCACAAUACUGACGCUCAGGUGCGAAAGCGUGGGGAGCAAAC